GGCACUUUGGCGGAGUGGUUAACGCGAUGCCCUGCUAAGGCAUUUCCUUCGGGAGCAAGAGUUCGAAUCUCUUAGGUGUCG